UACGUAGGGGGCUAGCGUUGCCCGGAAUCACUGGGCGUAAAGGGCGCGUAGGUGGCGCCGCAAGUCCAUGGUGAAAGCUCGAUGCUCAACAUCGAGUCGGCCACGGAGACUGCGGGGCUCGAGCACUGUAGGGGCAGAUGGAAUUCCGGGUGUAGCGGUGGAAUGCGUAGAGAUCCGGAAGAACACCGGUGGCGAAGGCGGUCUG
rnacentral:rRNA from 1 species